CUCAACCGUCCAGCACUGCUCUCCCCAGAGCGGAGGGAUCCCGCCCGCCAGUGACGCGGCCACCGCCGCCGCCGCGCCCAGGGCCCGGCUGGACGAGACCACUACCAGAGGGGGAGACCAAAAGAGAGAACACCAUUUCAGAGGCUGAAGAUCUGCCUUUGGAAGCUGAAGAACAGUGGUGUGCUUUCAUUAAGUCGGGCCAGCUCAGACCGGCUCCCAAAGAACCCACUGUGCACCGCUCCUCUGAGCUCAUCUGGUGAAAUCACGUAACAUCUGGGGAGGAUCAUGCCCCUGUCCCUAAGGUAUUGAUUGCAGUGACAUGAAAUCAGGCAUGCAGAGGGUAUUCACGUCAUGACAACCUGCAAAUGCUUCUGAUCAGAGCACUCCCUCCAUGAAGAGCAUUACUGCACACCACUGUGCAGGCACUCAACAUACUCUACAUGAAAUGAAUCAUUCUCCCCUCCCCUGCAUUCUUCCCGGACCUGUUCUCCCCAAGUCUCUUGGCCCAGGAGCAGCACCCCUUCCACCAGGGGCAUCACAUAUUUCUCAUUCCCAGGUUCAAAAUACAGCCCACUAGUUACAGUCUAAGUAAGCUGCAAUAACAAACAGUUCUGAAAAUUCAAUGACUUAAGCAAUCACUACAAAACAAUUACUCCAGGGCUGCAGGGCCUUCUCUGCCACUUUCCUCCUGUUGCUCCCAUUUCUGUGUCCAGCAUGGUCCAGACAGUGUAAGCCAUUGCAUCUGCUUCCCAUCUGUUUGGCAUGGUGGGUGGCCCUAGUUCUUUCCUGUUCAAGACCAUCAUUGACUCCUGCUCAGAAGCUGGCCAGAUACAAAGAAGACUGGAAUAUUAAUAAAGAAAUGAGACAAGUAA